rnacentral:rRNA from 1 species
ACUCCUACGGGAGGCAGCAGUGGGGAAUAUUGCACAAUGGGCGCAAGCCUGAUGCAGCAACGCCGUGUGAGUGAAGAAGGUUUUCGGAUCGUAAACUCUGUCCUAAGGGAAGAAAAAAUAGACGGUACCUUAGGAGGAAGCCCCGGCUAACUACGUGCCAGCAGCCGCGGUAAUACGUAGGGGGCAAGCGUUUAUCCGGAAUCACUGGGCGUAAAGGGUGCGUAGGCGGCUUAGCAAGCCAGGGUGAAAGGCAUUGGCUCAACCAAUGUAAGCCUUUGGAACUGUUAAGCUUGAGUGCAGGAGAGGUAAGUGGAAUUCCUAGUGUAGAGGUGAAAUUCGUAGAUAUUAGGAGGAACACCAGUGGCGAAGGCGACUUACUGGACUGUAACUGACGCUGAUGCACGAAAAGCGUGGGUAGCGAACAGGAUUAGAUACCCUGGUAGGUCAGU